UACGUAGGGUGCGAGCGUUGUCCGGAAUUAUUGGGCGUAAAGGGCUCGUAGGCGGUUUGUCGCGUCGGGAGUGAAAUCCACUGGCUUAACUGGUGGCUUGCUUUCGAUACGGGCAGACUAGAGUUCGGUAGGGGAGUCUGGAAUUCCUGGUGUAGCGGUGAAAUGCGCAGAUAUCAGGAGGAACACCGGUGGCGAAGGCGGGACUCUGGGCCGAUACUGACGCUGAGGAGCGAAAGCGUGGGGAGCGAACAGG
rnacentral:rRNA from 1 species